UACAGAGGUGGCAAACGUUGUCCGGAUUUAUUGGGUGUAAAGGGCAUGUAGGUGGUUUUGUAAGUCAAAGGUGAAAUGGCCCGGCUCAACCAGGUCAUUGCCUUUGAAACUGCAGGACUUGAGUACGGAAGAGGAAAGCGGAAUUCCCAGUGUAGCGGUGAAAUGCGUAGAUAUUGGGAGGAACACCGGUGGCGAAGGCGGCUUUCUGGUCCGAAACUGACACUGAGAUGCGAAAGCCAGGGGAGCAAACGGG
rnacentral:rRNA from 1 species